AUAUCAUUAAGCGGAGGAGAAGAAAUUAACUAAGAUUGCCCUAGUAACGGCGAGUGAAGCGGCAAGAGCCCAAACUGGAAAUCUCGUACCUACGGUGCGCGAAUUGUAAUCUAAAGGUUGUCCGCUCAACGGAUGGUGUCGCAGAAGUGCUCUAGAACGAGCUACCAGAGAGGGUGACAGUCCCGUAUGUGGUGACACUAUCCAACGAGUGUGCUUCCGAAGAGUCGGGUUGUUUUGUAUUGCAGCCCUAAGUGGGAGGUAAACUUCUUCUAAGGCUAAAUAUAUAUGGGAGACCGAUAGCGCACAAGUA
rnacentral:rRNA from 1 species